CCUAUACUAAAAGGGCAAUAAUAAGCCCUUUUAAGCUGUCCAGCUCGGACUAUAAAAUCAGCCAAUGGUUGAGCAGCAUUCUUCCACGUCAUUUAAUAGUUCUUUGUUUGGGCUUCUGUUGUUUUUGGCCUGUCUGAUCUGUGGGCUAUAUAGUCCAUUCUGCAAUUGAUGGCCGACGAAACCUAAUUUUGUUCUUCACUUUUCGACUUCCAUCUCUUACCUCUUCCAUUUCUCUUCUCUCCAAAUCCGUUUCGAAGAGUAAUUUCACCGUUGACGUUCCCACUUUUUUCUCUGCCUUCUUCGUCGGUUGGUUCUCAUUCUAUAUAAGCAGAUGAUUAGCGGGGGAUUGAGUAAGGAGGAUUAGGAUGCUCUGGUCGCCGGAAGUUGCAGGGAUAUCCGUAAAAUCCAUUAGAUUCGUCUUUCGGCCACCAUAGAAGAAAGGUUAUUGGUGCUGUGAUUCUACGAAGAUCUGAGAGAAUGAGAAUCAAGAUUGUUCCAAAGACCAACCAUAGGAAUCAGGGGAUUCAAAAAAUUCCCCGCACGAAGUCUUUCUCUAACAAGAGCUUAAAAGAUAUAUGCACAUGUAGCUCGGUUCUGUUCCUGAGUAACCCAAAUAUCGUAGAAUGUGUUUACACUACGGGAACUGAGAUAGCGAACAGGGCUAAAGUAAAUUGUAUCCAGAACAAUUGGGCAGUAAACGUUGUAAGUAUGCUUUGGUUUUCAUAUAUACUCUUUUAUUCAAUUGAUUGUUUUAAAGUUGGAAUGUAUCAGCAGGUGCAUGAUGAUCAAUGAUCAAACAUAUCAGAGAGUACAAAAGGUAUGCUAUAGUGAUGCUGACAGUUUUUUUUUUAAUUCGAAUUACUGAGAUUUUGUUUGUCUCUUGGCUCUUGAUGUUAAAAUUUAACCAAUAUUUGAGAAUAGGGAUUAGGUACCAGGCCAUUUCUACUGCUCAGCGAGAAGAAAUUUAUUGCCCUUCACCAGGUUACUUAGAACCAAAAUGGUUUCUGGAAUUGAAGGGGUUUUCUUCUCACCUUUUUCUUCAGGAAACAUUUAUCGUACUACUGUGAUUAUAGAUUAUAAACUUUUUGAAUGUCAGAGCUUCGCCUAAGUUUAUGCUUCUUUCAAUAGUGUUCUUUAAACAGCUUAUGAGCCAACAUCUGUAUAUGUGUGUAUGUGCUUGUGAUCAGCAUGUUGCUAUGAUUGUACACUUUUUCUACCUCUUGAAUCAACCAACGGAGAAAUAAGUAUAACCAAGUCCUGCUCUUUGUAUAUUAGAGUUUUGGCUUA